UACGUAGGUGGCAAGCGUUAUCCGGAUUUACUGGGUGUAAAGGGCGUGUAGGCGGGAAAGCAAGUCAGAUGUGAAAACCACGGGCUCAACCUGUGGCCUGCAUUUGAAACUGUUUUUCUUGAGUACUGGAGAGGCAGACGGAAUUCCUCGUGUAGCGGUGAAAUGCGUAGAUAUGAGGAGGAACACCAGUGGCGAAGGCGGUCUGCUGGACAGCAACUGACGCUGAGGCGCGAAAGCGUGAGGAGCAAACAGG
rnacentral:rRNA from 1 species